ACGAACGCUGGCGGCGUGCCUCAAACAUGCAAGUCGAGCGGGGUUCUGGAAGUGGGCGACCACGGAAGGGACCUAGCGGCGGACGGGUGAGUAACGCGUGGGUAAUCUGCCCAAGGGACCGGGAUAACACCUCGAAAGGGGUGCUAAUACCGGGUGACCCUGGUGCUCCGAGUGGGGGACCAGGGAUAGGUGGCCUCUUGACAAUGCUACUGCCCUUGGAUGAGCCCGCGUCCCAUUAGCUAGUUGGCGGGGUAAAGGCCCACCAAGGCGACGAUGGGUAGCCG
rnacentral:rRNA from 1 species